rnacentral:rRNA from 1 species
CAGCAGCCGCGGUAAUACGAGGGGGGCAAGCGUUGUUCGGAAUUAUUGGGCGUAAAGGGUGCGUAGGCGGUUUGGCAAGUUUGGUGUGAAAUCUUCGGGCUCAACUCGAAGUCUGCAUCGAAAACUGCCGGGCUUGAGUAUGGGAGAGGUGAGUGGAAUUUCCGGUGUAGCGGUGAAAUGCGUAGAUAUCGGAAGGAACACCUGUGGCGAAAGCGGCUCACUGGACCAUAACUGACGCUGAUGCACGAAAGCUAGGGGAGCAAACAGGAUUAGAUACCCCGGUAGUCCCUGUCUCUUAUAA